AUCAUUACAGUGUUGGCUGCCCUCACGGGUAGCAAACCUCACCCUUGUAUAUUAUAUCUUACAUUCUGAAAAUGUCGUCUGAGUACUAUCUAAUAGUUAAAACUUUCAACAACGGAUCUCUUGGUUCUGGCAUCGAUGAAGAACGCAGCGAAAUGCGAUGAGUAAUGUGAAUUGCAGAAUUCAGUGAAUCAUCGAAUCUUUGAACGCACAUUGCGCCCGGUGGCAUUCCGCCGGGCAUGCCUGUUCGAGCGUCAUUUAAACCAAUCCAGCCUCGUGCUAGGGUCUUGGGCCUUUCGCCUUCGGGCGGGCCUCAAAAUCAGUGGCGGUGCCGUCUGGCUCUAGGCGUAGUAAUACUCCUCGCUACAGACGUCCGGUGGUGGCUUGCCAACAACCCCCAAUUUUAUCAGGUUGACCU
rnacentral:rRNA from 1 species